GGUGGCCAAACGGGCCCUUAACGAAGCCCCAGUUAUUUGCCUGAAUUUUGAUUAAAUUAUCAUAAUCCACAAUACUUGUGCUUCCAUUUCCGUCUCCGGCGAACUUCUCCGUCUCCGGCGAAAUAAGACUUAAAAAAACAAAGCAUGGCAGAGCAAAUCCUCAGCUUGGGAGUCCUCAUAGAUGUUGUGGAUGAAGAAUGGAUGCGAGAUACCCUGCCUGCUGAUGGCUUUCAAGUUUGGUCCAAGAUUGGAUGAUGUGUUGUCUCAAUUGGGCAGCACUCCAGUUGCCGGUGAGAUGUUAAAUCUCCCGUUACCACCCGUACUACUUCCUAAGACUGAUGACAAUGAAGAUUCAAAUCAAGAGGCUCCACAAGUUGAUGGAGAUACAUGGCACGACCUUGCAUUGGAAAAUCACCGACAUUAAACUGAUCGAGCUUGUGGUUUGAUUUGCAACCACUAUCAUCAUAUGUAUUGUUGGUCAUGUACUUGUACGAAAACUAAGUUCAACUGUUCUAUCUCUUGAUAUAUUAUGUUGGUUAGUAGGUAUGAGUGCAUUGCGUGGUGUGUGGCAUGUCGUGGAGUUUGAACCUUUCUACAUACAAAAAAAACCCGCAAUUUAAGUGGAGAAAGUUUAGAGGAUCGAACCCAUUAUUCACCGAGUUUUAAACUCUGUGCAGCUAUAGCUUGUAUUUCUGCAAGGGUCUUGUUUGAAAUAUAAUGAGACUUGCUAUUAUAUGUCAUCAACCAAGCUAGUUGGUCCAAUUUUUGUCCCAAAAA